GAUGAACGCUGGCGGCGUGCCUAAUACAUGCAAGUCGAGCGAACAGAUGAGGAGCUUGCUCCUCUGACGUUAGCGGCGGACGGGUGAGUAACACGUGGAUAACCUACCUAUAAGACUGGGAUAACUUCGAGAAACCGGAGCUAAUACCGGAUAAUAUAUUGAACCGCAUGGUUCAAUAGUGAAAGACGGUUUUGCUGUCACUUAUAGAUGGAUCCGCGCCGCAUUAGCUAGUUGGUAAGGUAACGGCUUACCAAGGCAACGAUGCGUAGCCGACCUGAGAGGGUGAUCGGCCACACUGGAACUGAGACACGGUCCAGACUCCUACGGGAGGCAGCAGUAGGGAAUCUUCCGCAAUGGGCGAAAGCCUGACGGAGCAACGCCGCGUGAGUGAUGAAGGUCUUCGGAUCGUAAAACUCUGUUAUUAGGGAAGAACAAAUGUGUAAGUAACUAUGCACGGCUUGACGGUACCUAAUCAGAAAGCCACGGCUAACUACGUG
rnacentral:rRNA from 1 species